UAAAUGAGCAUUGAGACAUCUCCAUGGGUGUAUUAAAAAAAUCAGAUAACAUUCCCCUAAAAAAAUCUGAUAACAAAUACUCCCUCCCUGCCAUAAUAUAAGACGGUUUUGCAGUUUAAAUUGAAAUGCAAAAGUGUCUUUUAUCAUAUGACAGAGGUAGUAGUUGUAUCAUAUCAGUGAUUCCCUACAAAAAAAAGGUAUCACUGAACGUAUUGGAUCCCAUCUUCACCAAGUGGUAGCUCAGACUGCCUUGUACUCCCUCUGUAAAGAAAUUCUAAACGCUCUUAUAUUUCUUUACGGAGGGAGCACAAAGUUUGCAGCCAGUAAUCAGAAGUCCUAUAGAAAUAAAAUGUAUAAGAAAUUGAAUACCGGCACCCGAGUCCAAUAGCAGUGGACUCUGCCUUGUAUGCUGAACCUUAUUGUUUGUGAGUGACUGAAAGUAAUACCAUCAGCAUUGGAGUGUAUCCAGAUUCAGGCAUGUGUAUCUAUUACACCUCAAAUAUGGAUUAGCUUCCAUGCAAAACAUAGCUUAACAAAUUGUACUCUACAAUACCUAACAUUGUACUAUUUUGAAGAUCUCAGGAGCAGGUUUUUCAUUCCUUGGUCGUGUGUCUAAAUCUGCACAUUAAUUAGGUCAUAGCACUCAAUAAUCAUCAAACAAAUUAGUGUGGGGGAAGUACCACUCACCGAAGCAUAGGAAUGGCUUGGGUAAUGACGUCCUUGACAACUACAAAUCACAAUGUCAAGGCACAUCCAGGAUCGCCGCAUCUACCUCCUCACUAAUUGAAAUGUGCCCUUCGCUGCAGCAUAUAGUGGCCACCAGGACGUGGAGGGCUAUCUCCCCUAUAUAUAUAUUGUCAUAACAUUUAGAUAUCAAAAUCCUUGAAUGGCAUAGAGACAUGACCUCCAAGAGAAUCAUGGGAAAAGUCUUACUAUCCUCCUUAUUUCUGCAUGUAAGCCAACACAAACAUGAACACCACGUCUAGUGAUCCCUAUAUCGGCUCAAAAGGCCAUAACCUGUUUCUGACCUCUAUUAGAAACCUGCCUCAGCUAGUCGAUGCGUCAUCUGAGACUGAGCUGCUCGUUAGUGCUUGCUGAUGGCGGCUCCAUCUUUUUCGUGAAUAGAAAUCUUCGUCUCGCUUCCUCCAAAAAGCUCACUGUCUACCACCUAUGCUUCUGCGACGAUGGACAUUGUGCUGCAAAAGGGAAAAGUAAAAUAGUUUGAUAAACUUUUAGGUACCAGCAGAAGCUGAUUGAACUGAAUAUCUUAAACUUGUGAUAUGAAAAACAUAGUAAAUAUUCAUCUUCUAUGAAAGAUAAAUGCAAUAUGGCUAAUCUAGUAAAGGAAUUUCGAAUGUCAGCUUAACUAACUCUGUACCAUCAACUAAAUUGUGAAGAACCCAUUUUUUCACCAUAAAUAGAAACCAAAAAACUUCCAAUAUAUCAGAUAAAGUAAACUGAUAAAUAACUCUUUUCCAUCCGAAAUUCCAUAAGAUCCAGAUCCAUUCAUGUGAAUAAUGAGCCUAUCACAAAUUUGUCAUCUAUUAUAUGAAUCAAUGGGUGCAAGGUAGCAAAUGUGCUAGAGAGAGGGCUGCUUCAGGGCAAUCUUAUUGGGUGUCAGCAGUCAGCACCAACCUUAAGAAAUAAUAUCUAUUGUAGAGCAGUUAACAAAAUGAACCACAAACUUCAUGUAUUUACGUGAAUAGAAUUAUAAUCAACAGGGAACAGGGUUACAGUAGACAGAAGCCUUGGAGCCGAUUGAAAUCACAGACAAUUGAAUUUUCUAAAUUUGAUCUUCACAACUACGAAAAAAGGAGAAUAAAUGUAGGACGUCAUUUACACAUGCAAUCCACAUGCCAUCAAUCUGGCUUACAAAAUUGGUUCACAGGAGACCGAGAUGCUGGGUUAGAAUGUUUUUAGAUUGAUUGUAGGGUGGAUGCAGCAGUAGGGAUCUCUUGAAUCUGGAUGAUGUGCCGUUCAGGAGUGGCGGCGAAGGACAUCCGUGAGUUCUUGCUAAUCAUUAAAAAUAGGAAGCUUCAGUUCACAAGAAACCAAAUCUCUUUUAAUCUAUCAGUACUGCUUGGGCAACCUGAACGAUGUACUUUGGCUGGAGCACGAGCAGACUUAUUUCAUAUAAGUCUCUCUCUUUCUUACUUUUUUUGUGUGUGUGGUAGGACAGUACUUGUAAUAUAACAUACUAAUACUCCAAUUUUGGAGUUUGCAUACUGAUAGUCCAAAAUAAAAAAGGUACAUCAUACAUUUUUCUGGAGUUUUGAUCAAAAAUUCCAAAAAACGGCAGCCCAUUGAUAUUUGGAAAAGAGGUUUGAGGUGAACCAGAUCUUGAAGCAAGUUAAUUCUCAAUCAUGUGUCAGGCGUAUAACACUUCCUCGGGGUAACUGAAUUUAACAGUACGAAUAGCAUAUAUAGGUGGUUUCUGAUGGUCAUCACGAUACAUCAAACCAAACAAAUAGAACAUUUUUGUGAUGACAAAAUUACAGGAAGUCAGUAUGAUUCUACCUACAUCAAUCUACCAGAAGGUACAUGUUACAGUAAGCAACUGAAGGAUAUAUAAAAUCCUGUCAAACUCAUGCUCUUUUCAGAUUUCAGUUUCAAAAAGAUUCUGAAACAUAACAGACAUGUCACAAAAAGCCAUCAAAAGAAACCGAUCAAUCAAUCAGAUCAAAUUCUACUGACACGUCCAUCUCCCUUGUUCAUCCAGAAGGAAGCAGAAAUAGGUGUCCUAACAGCCAGCGAGACCAAGACAACCACAGGCGGCACGGCCGUCGGCCACACACCAAGAUUCCGGCUCCCACGGUCAGUCAACGUGGCUCUGCUAGAGGACAACCACAUGGGCGUCACACUGACUCGAAGACCACAUGCAUGUGGAGCAUGAUCAUGGUGGCAGACUCCGACGACCACGAGUGCAGCAACUCCGGCGGCCAACAAACUUGUGUAUGUGCUAGGUACUGUUGUGAAUAGAAGGAACAUGCAAGCUUGCUAUGAAUGUGACGAAAAAUGGCAUUGUAGACCUGUGAUGUCCUGACUUGAUUGAACUGGAAACAUAAAAGAAAAAAUGGGAGGGAGAUGAACAAUUGUCGAGCCGAAUGUGGUGUGUACUUGUAUUAGUUAAAACUGAUUCAUUUUCUGUACGAUUUUAUCUUUGAAAGAUGGUUGGAAGAGAAAUCUUAUUUACAUGUAGAUUAAUUCUGCAGAUGACUGGUCGUGUUUUUGCUUGUUUGCAAGCUGCAACAACUGAAUUUCUUUACUUUGCACAUGGAAUAUGUAGACCGGUGGAAUUUGACAGCAUAAUAGCAUCUGUAUAUUACAAAAUUUGAUAGGCCCCUGCAAUUUGACAGCAUAUUAGCAAUAUAUCAGAAAACUUGGCUGACCCAUGGUUUCUGCGACUCAAGAACAUGAAGAAUGAGUGAUUUCUGUUGCUCGAGAACAUGGCGAUUGAGGACCAGAUCGAGGGGAAGUAGGAAAAGAGGGGAGAUGAAUCGAUUAAUUACCUGAUGGUCAAGUCUACGCCACCUGUGGCCUGGUUGGUGUCGCUCGACCGGCCGGCUCCAAAUCCCUCCAUCUCCUGCGCCCGUCCACCGUCGCCCCGCUCUGGCGAGCUCCUGCCUAGGACGCCACACCUCCCCUCCUUUCUCCCUUCUUCUCUCCCUCACCUCCAUUCUUCUUUCCGCCCAGGAGCCGCAGAUGUCAUGGAUCCGCCCGGGAGGCCACGCCCCAGCCUUCCUCAUCGUCACUGGCGACCCCGGCGUCGCCGCCCGCCUCCGAAUCAGCCUCCCCAGCCCCUGCCGUGCACGGAUCUGGCCCGUGCAAGCAGCCACCGCCGUCGUUCCGCCGCC
rnacentral:lncRNA from 1 species